rnacentral:rRNA from 1 species
GGCUUUUUGAUAUUAAUUUAAGGUCUAGCCUGCCCACUGAUAAAUUUAAGGGCCGCGGUAUUUUGACCGUGCUAAGGUAGCAUAAUCAUUAGUUUUUUAAAUGGAAGCUGGAAUGAAGGGUUGGAUAAGAAAAUAGCUGUCUUUAUUAGAAUUUAAAUGAAUUUUAUUUUUAAGUAAAAAAGCUUAAAUAUUUUUAAAAGACGAGAAGACCCUAUAGAGUUUUAUAUUGUUUAGGCUUUAAUUUUUUAGUAAUUUAAAAUUAUAGUUUAAAUUUUAUUUAAUUGGGGUGAUUGAAAAAUUUAAUAAACUUUUUUUAUUAAGAUAACAUUAAUUUAUGAAUAAUUGAUCCAUUAAUUAUGAUUAUAAGAUUAAAUUACCUUAGGGAUAACAGCGUUAUUUUUUUUGAGAGUUCAAAUCGAAAAAAAAGGUUGCGACCUCGAUGUUGGAUUAAAAUAUAAUUUUGGUGUAGAAGCUAAAAUAUUUAGGUCUGUUCGACCUUUAAAAUUUUACAUGA